UCUCCGUUGGUGAACCAGCGGAGGGAUCAUUGCUGGAAGCGUCUCACGGCGCACCCAGAUACCCUUUGUGAACCAUACCUCUCUGUUGCCUCGGCGUAGGCCGGCCUCUUCACUGAGGCCCCCUGGAAACAGGGAGCAGCCCGCCGGCGGCCAACCAAACUCUUGUUUCUACAGUGAAUCUCUGAGUAAAAAACAUAAAUGAAUCAAAACUUUCAACAACGGAUCUCUUGGUUCUGGCAUCGAUGAAGAACGCAGC
rnacentral:misc_RNA from 1 species